GAUGAACGCUAGCGGCAGGCUUAAUACAUGCAAGUCGAGGGGCAGCAGUUUUGUAGCAAUACAGAAGCUGGCGACCGGCAAACGGGUGCGGAACUCGUACGCAACCUUCCUUUAACUGGAAGAUAGCCCACCGAAAGGUGGAUUAAUACUCCAUAAUAUAUUGAAGAGGCAUCUUUUUGAUAUUAAAGCUCCGGCGGUUAAAGAUGGGCGUGCGUCUGAUCAGGUAGUUGGCGGGGUAACGGCCCACCAAGCCUUCGAUCAGUAGCUGAUGUGAGAGCAUGAUCAGCCACACGGGCACUGAGACACGGGCCCGACUCCUACGGGAGGCAGCAGUAAGGAAUAUUGGUCAAUGGACGCAAGUCUGAACCAGCCAUGCCGCGUGGAGGAUGAAGGCCCUCUGGGUUGUAAACUUCUUUUCUUUGGGACGAAACCCCUGUUUCUACGGGGACUGACGGUACCAGAGGAAUAAGCACCGGCUAACUCCGUGCCAGCCGCCGCAGUAAGAC
rnacentral:rRNA from 1 species